rnacentral:rRNA from 1 species
AUUGAACGCUGGCGGCAUGCCUUACACAUGCAAGUCGAACGGCAGCGCGGACUUCGGUCUGGCGGCGAGUGGCGAACGGGUGAGUAAUGCAUCGGAACGUACCUUUCAGUGGGGGAUAACGUAGCGAAAGUUACGCUAAUACCGCAUACUCUGUGAGCAGGAAAGCAGGGGAUCACAAGACCUUGCGCUGAUUGAGCGGCCGAUGUCAGAUUAGCUAGUUGGUGAGGUAAAGGCUCACCAAGGCGACGAUCUGUAGCGGGUCUGAGAGGAUGAUCCGCCACACUGGGACUGAGACACGGCCCAGACUCCUACGGGAGGCAGCAGUGGGGAAUUUUGGACAAUGGGGGCAACCCUGAUCCAGCCAUGCCGCGUGAGUGAAGAAGGCCUUCGGGUUGUAAAGCUCUUUCGGCCGGGAAGAAGUCGCAUGGGUUAAUACCCUGUGUGGAUGACGGUACCGGAAUAAGAAGCACCGGCUAACUACGUGCCAGCCGCCGCCGUAA